rnacentral:rRNA from 1 species
AGGGUUCGAUUCUGGCUCAGGAUGAACGCUAGCUACAGGCUUAACACAUGCAAGUCGAGGGGCAGCAUGAUUCUAGCUUGCUAGAAUGAUGGCGACCGGCGCACGGGUGAGUAACGCGUAUCCAACCUUCCCUAUAGUAGAGGAUAGCCCGGCGAAAGUCGGAUUAAUACUCUAUGUUUUCCAAUGAGGACAUCUGAGCUGGAAUAAAGGUUUACCGCUAUAGGAUGGGGAUGCGUCUGAUUAGAUGGUAGGCGGGGUAACGGCCCACCUAGUCGACGAUCAGUAGGGGUUCUGAGAGGAAGGUCCCCCACAUUGGAACUGAGACACGGUCCAAACUCCUACGGGAGGCAGCAGUGAGGAAUAUUGGUCAAUGGGCGAGAGCCUGAACCAGCCCAAGUAGCGUGCAGGAUGACGGCCCUAUGGGUUGUAAACUGCUUUUAUACGGGGAUAAAGUGAGGGACGUGUCCCUUUUUGUAGGUACCGUAUGAAUAAGGACCGGCUAAUUCCGUGCCAGCCGCGGC